rnacentral:rRNA from 1 species
AGUACUGUGGCUGUUUGCUUGGAUCCAAAAGAGAAGGAAGAAAAUAUUUUUCAACAAAUUUAUGUAUGUUUCAAUUCUAUGAAGCAAGGGUUUAAAGCUGGGUGUAGGAAAGUGAUUGGGCUAGAUGGUUGUUUCUUCAAGGGAGCCUGCCAAGGUGAGCUACUGGCUGCAAUAGCUAGGGAUGCAAACAACCAAAUGUAUCCAGUAGCUUGGGCUGUUGUGAAGAAGGAGACAAAUGAGAGUUGGGCCUAGUUCAUUGGUCUUUUAAUCAAAGACUUGGACAUUAAUGAUCAAGGAGCUGGAUGGGUCUUUAUUUCUGAUAAGCAAAAGGGCUUAAUUAACAGUAUGAGAGACUAUCUUCCUAGGGCAGAGCAUAGGAUGUGUGCUAGUCACAUCUAUGCUAUUUGGAGAAAGAAGCAUAAAGAUCAUCAAUUGCAAAAAAGGUUUUGGGUAAUUGCUAAGUCUACAAACAGAGAAGAUUUCAACUACAACAAGGCCAAGCUUGAUCAACUAAUUCCAGAAGGUGCAAAAGAUAUCAUGAAGACAAACCCAAAGCAUUGGGCUAGGGCUUUCUUUCCAAUAGGAGCAAAUUGUGAGUUAGUUGACAACAACCUUUGUGAAUCAUUUAACAAUGCCAUCAUAGAAGCUAGGUUCUACCCCAUUAUUUCACAGCAAGAAAAGUUAGGAAAAAAUGAUGGUUAG